AACUCUAGUGCCCUGAGGAAGAUGGUGAAUGAGUUAAGGUAAGACCCAGAGUAUCGAUCACAGUAGGAAAACUUAGAACUAAAUGUUUUAAAGUGCCAUUGUGAGAAAGUUACAGUUUUCCCUUCUAAGCUUCAAUUAGCAACCUGUGAAGUAAAUUUCUCUGAGGCUCAUUUUGAAAAUUUUAGAAUGAAAACUAGUAGUAGACAAAAUGUCAGGCCCAAAACUUUAGAAUAAUCUUUGUGAUACUCAGUCGAGUCUCAAAGCCUUUCAAUUCAUCUCCUUCUCAUUAUUUUUUAUAACAAAAGGAGUUAUUUUUGACUGUUAGUGUUUCCAUGCAACCAUCUUUGACUGUUAAUGUCAGAGAUGGAUCUGUCAGAGCUGUCAAUAUUCUCUGUGUUUGGGAUUUCAGCCUUUCAUCUGAACAUAAAUGUAGAGCUCUUGUAUUUUGCAGUUUUGUUUUUUAGUGAGCAUGAAUGCAAAAGAAACUGAACUUAGAAUGGCAGCUACAACUCUUC
rnacentral:lncRNA from 1 species